rnacentral:rRNA from 1 species
GGACGAACGCUGGCGGCGUGCCUAAUACAUGCAAGUCGAGCGCAGGAAGUCAUCCGAACCCUUCGGGGGGACGUUGACGGAAUGAGCGGCGGACGGGUGAGUAACACGUAAAGAACCUGCCCUCAGGUCUGGGAUAACCACGAGAAAUCGGGGCUAAUACCGGAUGGGUCAUCGGACCGCAUGGUCCGAGGAUGAAAGGCGCUCCGGCGUCGCCUGGGGAUGGCUUUGCGGUGCAUUAGCUAGUUGGUGGGGUAAUGGCCCACCAAGGCGACGAUGCAUAGCCGACCUGAGAGGGUGAUCGGCAACACUGGGACUGAGACACGGCCCAGACUCCUACGGGAGGCAGCAGUAGGGAAUCUUCCACAAUGGACGAAAGUCUGAUGGAGCAACGCCGCGUGAACGAUGAAGGCCCUCGGGUCGUAAAGUUCUGUUGUAAGGGAAGAACAAGUGCCGCAGGCAAUGGCGGCACCUUGACGGUACCUUGCGAGAAAGCCACGGCUAACUACGUG